UACGAAGGGGGCUAGCGUUGUUCGGAAUUACUGGGCGUAAAGGGCGCGUAGGCGGUCUGUCGCGUCUGCUGUGAAAAUCCGGGGCUCAACCCCGGACCUGCAGUGGGUACGGGCAGACUAGAGUGUGGUAGGGGAGACUGGAAUUCCUGGUGUAGCGGUGAAAUGCGCAGAUAUCAGGAGGAACACCGAUGGCGAAGGCAGGUCUCUGGGCCAUAACUGACGCUGAGAAGCGAAAGCAUGGGGAGCGAACAGG
rnacentral:rRNA from 1 species